AGAAAAAGAGUUGCAAAACUACAUUAAUCGCUAGACGUCGCCUUCCACCAUGAAGGGCUAAUUAACAGCUUAGCCUCCCAUUGUUUUUAUGAACGCAAGCCCUGUAGCGCCAAGCCGCAUCCAGCCCCGUAGUACAAUAACUCUGCCUGCAGGAGGCGACAGCUGUGUGGAGCUCUAGGGGCGACACACACAGCUGUUCCAACUGUCCCUAGACAUCUGCGGCCGCCUGGUGCCAUCUGGAAAUUUAGGAGGGCAGCUUAGGACCUGUACAGAUCCUCCUACCCCCUGCAACCUCCAGCACGCUUCCCAUAACUAACCCUCCAUUUUGAGGUUGAUGUAACACAAGGUUGGGCAAAUACAUUGCUAACAGCAAACAUCAAACUCUUCGUCCACAUUCUUCUGGGAAACAUACCAAAUGCUUCACCGGAGUCAGCGCAAAAUUGAAGUAUGGAAGGAUCCUGAAUGAUGAUCAUCAACAUCUGAGUUAAUAAAAGGCAAACACUUACCAAUAACCCACAAAUUAGCGAAUACUCAAAUCCAACCCAAGUGAACAAGCCCUUAUCCUAAAAAGUCAUAGACGUGAUGAAAAGGACACCCUACAGUAUUAACUCCUCAGACCAACAUGAUGAACACCAAUGGGUCAUGUACAGGGUCUGCAGUCAGGGCAGAGCCCCACCACAAAUGCGAAGGACACCAGUGACCCAACAGCUUUUAAAUUACAGGCUGAGACAGAAAGAAGGUGACUGGAAGAGGAACCAUUAUCCCUGCAGGUCUGCAGGUCAAGCCUUCCCUCAUUAAGGCACAGGUCAAAGCCACAUAUCUCUUCCACUAAGGUGAGGGUCACUGCAAUGCUCCCUCCAGUCCCGGGUCAACUAGAGGUCUCCAGCCACUGAGGUCCAUAGCAAUACAAUAAAGCAAUCAACCGGGGUGCCGGACCCUGGUCAAUAAUAUACUCCAAGGCCACAGGGGGUCACCACCUGCUCUCUGGCCUCUUAUUGGAAAGUCCUCCAAGGUCUUCAACAGUGGACUAGGGUUUUAAUUUCAAGCCCAAGGGGAGUGCAGAUCCGUAAUCAUAUUCUCAAUCCAAAGCAAUAAAACAAUUGAUGCAUUGCAUAGCGCGUUGUUUGGCUUGAUGUACGCUGGAUCUUUGUCUUCAUUAAAAUAAUGCAGCCUUACAACGUCAACCCAGUCAUCAGUGGCUGGCUCUGAUGUCAUCAGUUUUUCAUUCCACCAGACGAUUUCAUUUACAAUAUCUCUCUAAGCACACUUGCAAACGCCUCAACUACUGAAAGACUGGCACAAAGCCACGGUGUUGGACGUCUGUUCUCAUGAAGUCUUUUGCCUGUCGUUUUGUAAAUCCAAGUGGCUUGGUCAGAGGAAACAAAGAGAACAACACUCAAAAUCUAAGAUGUACAGUCUCCUACACCGAAACCCAACACCAGAAACGUCCUGCUGGGGAAAGUGCAGACCUGGGCUUUAUCUGUUGAACUUAGACUGUGUCUCUAGUUCUGGCUGAAUUGGACAAGUACACAGAGCUAGACACAUUCCUCAGAGGACCUGAUCCUGGAAUAAAUGGAGAGGGAACAGGGGGAGGGGACUUCUUUCUCUUCUCAUCCUUCUCUUUUCAUUCCAUCUCCCUGAGUCCUCAUGAAUGGAGGCAGACAGCAUCCAUGCAGUUGCCAGGAUGAGACAGCAGUUAAGACUUGGCUGCUCUCCCUCUCUGCUUAAAGGCAGAUAUCGUGUUUCUAACAGCUCCGACUGGUUGGAUACAAAAGGGAGCUCAAAGAAAAGAGGAGGUGAACCUAUCUGCUUUUUUAGGCUGCACCCUAACCCCCAGCUCCUGACUACUUCCAAAAAAGCUUAAUGAAUAACUUGUAAUAAAAUGUUAAAAGUAACUAUAUGUAUAAGUUUAUUAAAAAAAUAGAGGAUGAGUAUUGUUCAUUGAUAUGUUCAUAACAUA